GAGAAUCUCAAGGAUUGGAUCUUUCUUCUCUUCCGUCGCUUUCCAAUUCCAAUAACAAAUCACAUAACAGCUUAACGAUUGGUAUAUCAAUAGCAUCUGCUUUGAUUGCAAUUUGCAUUCUCUCUUUGGUAUUAGUUUACCUGGUGAGGAAGAGAAUAAGAAAUUCUGAAGAUAGGAUUGAAGAUUGGGAGCUGGGAAUCGGACCACAGAGAUACUCAUACAGCGAAUUGAAAAGAGCAACUCACAAUUUCAGCGAGAAGGAACUUUUAGGAAGCGGCGGGUUUGGACAAGUAUACAAAGGAAUCAUCCCGGAAUCGAAAAUCCAAGUCGCUGUUAAACGGAUUUCCGACGAGUCAAAGCAAGGCCUCCGCGAAUUCGUCUCCGAGAUUGGAAGCAUCGGGAAGCUCCGUCACAGGAACCUGGUUCAAUUGAUCGGAUGGUGUCGUCGGAAAGGCGAUCUCCUCUUAGUCUACGAGUAUAUGCCGAACGGUAGCUUGGAUACUUUCCUGUUCGACGAGCCCAAGACGGUAUUGAAUUGGGAGCAGAGAUUCAAAAUCAUUAAAGACGUAGCGUCGGGUUUGCUCUACUUACACGAAGGUUAUGAGCAGGUGGUGAUCCACCGGGAUGUGAAGGCGAGUAACGUUCUAUUGGACGGCGAGAUGAACGCGAAGCUGGGGGACUUCGGGCUGGCGAGACUGUACGAGCGGGGAUCGAAUCCAGGGACAACUAG
rnacentral:lncRNA from 1 species